CCUACGGGUGGCAGCAGUGGGGAAUAUUGGACAAUGGGCGAAAGCCUGAUCCAGCCAUGCCGCGUGUGUGAAGAAGGCCUCCGGGUUGUAAAGCACUUUCAGUGGGGAAGAAAGCCUUGGGGCUAAUACCCUCGAGGAAGGACAUCACCCACAGAAGAAGCACCGGCUAACUCCGUGCCAGCAGCCGCGGUAAUACGGAGGGUGCGAGCGUUAAUCGGAAUUACUGGGCGUAAAGCGCGCGUAGGCGGUCUGAUAAGCCGGUUGUGAAAGCCCCGGGCUCAACCUGGGAACGGCAUCCGGAACUGUCAGGCUAGAGUGCAGGAGAGGAAGGUAGAAUUCCCGGUGUAGCGGUGAAAUGCGUAGAGAUCGGGAGGAAUACCAGUGGCGAAGGCGGCCUUCUGGACUGACACUGACGCUGAGGUGCGAAAGCGUGGGUAGCAAACAGGAUUAGAUACCCUUGUAGUC
rnacentral:rRNA from 1 species